UAUAUGUAUGUUAUUUACCGGCUGCGAGGUCCGGAUGAGAAAAACUGUGCCCGAGGUCUUGAAAACGGCCCGAGCCCGAAGGGCGAGGGACGUUUUUAAGACCGAGGGCACAGUUUUUCUCAUCCGGACCGACGCUGCCGGUAAAUAACGUGUUUAUU
rnacentral:miRNA from 1 species